AGUAACGCGUGGAUAACCUGCCUCACACAGGGGGAUAACAGUUAGAAAUGUCUGCUAAUACCGCAUAAGCGCACGGCAUCGCAUGAUGCAGUGUGAAAAACUACCGGUGGUGUGAGAUGGAUCCGCGUCUGAUUAGGUAGUUGGUGGGGUAACGGCCCACCAAGCCGACGAUCAGUAGCCGACCUGAGAGGGUGACCGGCCACAUUGGGACUGAGACACGGCCCAAACUCCUACGGGAGGCAGCAUG
rnacentral:rRNA from 1 species